rnacentral:rRNA from 1 species
CCAAUAGCGUAUAUUAAAGUUGUUGCAGUUAAAAAGCUCGUAGUUGAAUUUCGGGAUCAAGGAAUCGGUCAUGCCUUGGUAUGUACUGGUUUUAUUGGUUCUCACCUUCUAAAGAACCAUAAUGUCAUUCAUUUGAUGUUAUGGGGAAUUAGGACUGUUACCUUGAAAAAAUUAGAGUGUUUAAAGCAGGCUUACGCUUGAAUACAUUAGCAUGGAAUAAUGAAAUAGGACAUCAGAUUCUAUUUUGUUGGUUUCUAGGAUCGAUGUAAUGAUUAAUAGGGAUAGUUGGGGGCAUUAGUAUUCAAUUGUCAGAGGUGAAAUUCUUGGAUUUAUUGAAGACUAACUACUGCGAAAGCAUUUGCCAAGGAUGUUUUCAUUAAUCAAGAACGAAAGUUAGGGGAUCGAAGACGAUCAGAUACCGUCGUAGUCUUAACCAUAAACUAUGCCGACUAGGGAUCGGAUGAUGUUAAUUUUAUAAUGACUCAUUCGGCACCUUACG